rnacentral:lncRNA from 1 species
AGUACAAAGGCUGUUUGAAUUGCUCAUUCUCGUUAUCUGAUUAAUCCGGUAUAAUUGAAGAUCAUCUGGUUUAUUCACAUAAGCAGAGGAUAGUCUUUCUCUGUGUGCAUGGCUGAAGAACUUCAACCUGCCUGUGAUGUAAAUGCCAGUAUUCCCUACGGUGCCCUUCACACUGAUGUAUGAACUCAAGACAGGCCCACUUCUCUGCAGAAGAAUGUCCUAAUAUCAAAAAUGUGUCUCUGAUGAAUGUUGGACCAAAGGGAGUAAACAGAACCCAAGACAUCUAACAAAAUGUUCCCCAGAAUUAAGAUGAACACCAAAGAGAAUAGAUAAUUUUAUGGAAACUAUGUUGGUGGGAUCCACUUCCAGCUGUGUGUGUCUGCACACCUCAUUCCUCUUGGUCGUGAGACAAGAACUCAGAACUUGCUGAAAUGCAGAAGUGAAAGAGCAGUAUCACUCCAUCCUGCUGAACUACGGGAGUGAAGAAGCCACAGUAGGACUUUACUAGAAGUGAGGAUUGGAGAACAGAAUCUUUCCAAAAGUUUUGAAGAAGCUUCCAUGUUGUGAGAGAGCAUAUGGAGGGGGCCACGUGGCAAGGAACUGUAGUGGCCACUGAGUACUGAGAGUGCUGAGUGCUGAACAUAGAACCUCAGGGCAACAGUUGCAAAGACAUGAAUUCCACCAACAACAUGAAGGCCUUGGAAAUGGAUUAUUCUCUAGUCCAGGCUCUGAUCACCACAGCCCCAGCCAACACCUGAAUUUGAGCCUUGUGAGACCCUGGAGUAGAGAACUUAGCUAGGAUAUGCCUGACUUCUGCCCUACAGAAACAAAGACAUAAUAAAUGUGUGCUAUUUUAAGCUUCAAGUUUGUGAUGAUUUACUACACAGUAUAGAAAACUAAUACAAUAUUACUUUUCUUUCUGCAACAUAUGUUUCCAUUAGUCUAACUUCCAUCUUGAUUCAACAGAUAUUUUUUGAAUUCUUAUGCCAAGUGCUGUUAAGAAUUUAUCUCACAAUCACAUAGGUCAGUAAAUAGCAGCGACCAGAUGGGAGUUCAGGCCCUUUUAGUCAUUGCUCAGUGAUCAUUCCCUUACAAUAAACAUCUGUGGAUGCACUAAUCCAAAUAUCAAGUGUGUGAUUGCCACAAAUAUUUGAGUUAUAAGAUGUUAGAAAUGUUUAA